GAUGAACGCUGGCGGCGUGCCUAAUACAUGCAAGUCGAGCGAAUGGAUUAAGAGCUUGCUCUUAUGAAGUUAGCGGCGGACGGGUGAGUAACACGUGGGUAACCUGCCCAUAAGACUGGGAUAACUCCGGGAAACCGGGGCUAAUACCGGAUAACAUUUUGAACCGCAUGGUUCGAAAUUGAAAGGCGGCUUCGGCUGUCACUUAUGGAUGGACCCGCGUCGCAUUAGCUAGUUGGUGAGGUAACGGCUCACCAAGGCAACGAUGCGUAGCCGACCUGAGAGGGUGAUCGGCCACACUGGGACUGAGACACGGGCCAGACUCCUACGGGAGGCAGCAGUAGGGAAUCUUCCGCAGUGGACGAAAGUCUGACGGAGCAACGCCGCGUGAGUGACGAAGGCUUUCGGGUCGUAAAACUCUGUUGUUAGGGAAGAACAAGUGCUAGUUGAAUAAGCUGGCACCUUGACGGUACCUAACCAGAAAGCCACGGCUAACUACGUGCCAGCCGCCGCGGUAA
rnacentral:rRNA from 1 species